AUGCUUCUUUGUACCAAUAUGGAAAAUCUAAAAGAAAAAACCCACACUCAGCACUAUGAAUGUUAUUGGUACCAAAAACUGGAGAAAAUGGGCUUUACAGAUGUGGGCCCAGACAACCAGCCAGUUAGUUUUCAAGAAAUCUCUGAAGCCAAAAGACAAGAGUUCUACAAUCAAUGUCAGAGGGAAGAAGAAGAGUUGAAACAGAGAUUUAUGCAGUGAGUCAAGGAGAAAGAAGCAACAUUUAAAGAAGCUGAAAAAGAGGCGCCUCCCUGUGGCCCAAGGUUCGCACCACACUCCAGCUUGCAGCCCUGGCAGGAGCUGUCUUGGAUAGUGAAAAGCUCUGAAGAUCACAUACUCCAGGUUAUGUACAGGGGCUUGGAGGAGGGAGACUGCCCCUGCGGCGCCCCCAGCUGUCACCAGCAGGGUACCCCAGGGGGUAUCUAAAAGAGGAGCAGGCUUCAUUCUGCCCCAAACUGGAAAGGAUGAAAUGGCUUUACCCGGGAGGAGAUAACCAUCCUGCCCUCCAUUGCUACCCCCACAUACUGUCCAUGUUCUCAGGGGCUACUGUGAGUCCUGGAUCUUCUCCGGGGUCCCCCACCUGCCUGU
rnacentral:lncRNA from 1 species